AGCGAACGUUUGCGGCGGGCUUAACACAUGCAAGUCGAACGGGCUGUUCCUUCGGGGGCAGUCAGUGGCGCACGGGUGCGUAACACGUAGGUAAUCAACCCUCUGGUUGGGGAUAACACUUCGAAAGGAGUGCUAAUACCCGGUAUGGCGCAGCGGUCUUCGGAUCGCGGCGAGAAAGACCCGCAAGGGUUGCCAGAGGACGAGCCUGUGGCCCAUCAGCUAGUUGGCGAGGUAACGGCUCACCAAGGCGAAGACGGGUAGCUGGUCUGAGAGGAUGAUCAGCCACACUGGAACUGAGACACGGUCCAGACUCCUACGGGAGGCAGCAGUGGGGAAUAUUGCGCAAUGGGCGAAAGACCUGACGCAGCCACGCCGCGUGAGCGAUGAAGG
rnacentral:rRNA from 1 species